rnacentral:rRNA from 1 species
GAUGAACGCUGGCGGCGUGCCUAACACAUGCAAGUCGAACGAGUGGCGGACGGGUGAGUAAUGUCUGGGAAACUGCCCGAUGGAGGGGGAUAACUACUGGAAACGGUAGCUAAUACCGCAUACCAUCGGAUGUGCCCAGAUGUGAUUAGCUAGUUGGUGGGGUAACGGCUCACCUAGGCGACGAUGCCUAGCUGGGCUGAGAGGAGGACCAGCCACACUGGAACUGAGACACGGUGCAGACUCCUACGGGAGGCAGCAGUGGGGAAUAUUGCACAAUGGGCGAAAGCCUGAUGCAGCCAUGCCGCGUGUAUGAAGAAGGCCUUCGGGUUGUAAAGUACUUUCAGCGAGGAGGCGUUACUCGCAGAAGAAGCACCGGCUAACUACGUGCCAGCAGCCGCGGUAAUAC